rnacentral:rRNA from 1 species
ACGGCUCAGUAACACGUGGAUAACCUACCCUAAGGUGGGAGAUAACCCCGGGAAACUGGGGAUAAUACCCCAUAGUCUAUGGAAGCUGGAAUGCUCUAUAGUUGAAAGAUUUAUCGCCUUAGGAUGGGUCUGCGGCCGAUUAGGUAGUUGUUGGGGUAACGGCCCAACAAGCCUUUGAUCGGUACGGGUUGUGGGAGCAAGAGCCCGGAGAUGGAUUCUGAGACACGAAUCCAGGCCCUACGGGGCGCAGCAGGCGCGAAAACUUUACAAUGCGGGAAACCGUGAUAAGGGAACUCCGAGUGCCCGUAAACGCGGGCUGUCCAUCUGCUUAAAAAACAGGUGAAGAAAGGGCCGGGCAAGACCGGUGCCAGCCGCCGCGGUAAUACCGGCGGCUCGAGUGGUGGCCACUAUUACUGGGCCUAAAGCGUCCGUAGCUUGGUUGUUAAGUCUCUUGGGAAAUCUGUCGGCUUAACCGACAGGCGUUUAAGGGAUACUGGCAAUCUAGGGACCGGGAGAGGUGAGAGGUACUCCAGGGGUAGGAGUGAAAUCCUGUAAUCCUUGGGGGACCACCUGUGGCGUAGGCGUCUCACCAGAACGGCUCCGACAGUGAGGGACGAAAGCUGGGGGAGCAAACCGGAUUAGAUACCCGGGUAGUCCCAGCCGUAAACGAUGCGCGUUAGGUGUAUCGGUGACCACGAGUCACCGAGGUGCCGAAGGGAAACCGUGAAACGUGCCGCCUGGGAAGUACGGUCGCAAGGCUGAAACUUAAAGGAAUUGGCGGGGGAGCAC